rnacentral:rRNA from 1 species
AUUGAACGCUGGCGGCAUGCUUUACACAUGCAAGUCGAACGGCAGCACGAAAUAGCUUGCUCUUUUGGUGGCGAGUGGCGAACGGGUGAGUAAUGCAUCGGAACGUACCGAGUAAUGGGGGAUAACUGUCCGAAAGGAUAGCUAAUACCGCAUACGCUUUGAGAAGGAAAGUGGGGGCUCUUCGGACCUCACGUUAUUCGAGCUGCCGAUGUCUGAUUAGCUAGUUGGUGGGGUAAAGGCCUACCAAGGCGACGAUCAGUAGCGGGUCUGAGAGGAUGAUCCGCCACACUGGGACUGAGACACGGCCCAGACUCCUACGGGAGGCAGCAGUGGGGAAUUUUGGACAAUGGGCGCAAGCCUGAUCCAGCCAUGCCGCGUGUCUGAAGAAGGCCUUCGGGUUGUAAAGGACUUUUGUUAGGGAAGAAAAGGAUAGUGUUAAUACCAUGAUCUGCUGACGGUACCUAAAGAAUAAGCACCGGCUAACUACGUG